rnacentral:rRNA from 1 species
ACGCUGGCGGCAUGCUUUACACAUGCAAGUCGAACGGCAGCAUGGGGGCAACCCUGGUGGCGAGUGGCGAACGGGUGAGUAAUGCAUCGGAACGUAUCCUUAAGUGGGGGAUAACGCAUCGAAAGAUGCGCUAAUACCGCAUAAUCUCUAAGGAGAAAAGCAGGGGAUCGCAAGACCUUGCGCUUUUGGAGCGGCCGAUGUCUGAUUAGCUAGUUGGUGAGGUAAAGGCUUACCAAGGCUUCGAUCAGUAGCUGGUCUGAGAGGACGACCAGCCACACUGGGACUGAGACACGGCCCAGACUCCUACGGGAGGCAGCAGUGGGGAAUUUUGGACAAUGGGGGCAACCCUGAUCCAGCCAUGCCGCGUGAGUGAAGAAGGCCUUCGGGUUGUAAAGCUCUUUCAGCCGGAACGAAAAGGUUACGGUUAAUACCCGUGACUAAUGACGGUACCGGAAGAAGAAGCACCGGCUAACUACGUGCCAGCAGCCGCGGUAAUACGUAGGGUGCGAGCGUUAAUCGGAAUUACUGGGCGUAAAGCGUGCGCAGGCGGUUUUGUAAGUCAGAUGUGAAAUCCCCGGGCUUAACCUGGGAACUGCGUUUGAAACUACAAGGCUAGAGUGUGGCAGAGGGGGGUGGAAUUCCACGUGUAGCAGUGAAAUGCGUAGAGAUGUGGAGGAAUACCGAUGGCGAAGGCAGCCCCCUGGGAUAACACUGACGCUCAUGCACGAAAGCGUGGGGAGC